UGAGAGUUAUCUCUCUUAUUUUUGGUCAUUGUGAUUAAAUUGAUUUAAAAAAUGUUGUUUGUCUUGGAAGAAAGUAAAGAUUGACUUUCCGUGUGUUUAAUUGAUCUCAGUUUUAUACCUUUUAAGAAAUAAGAAAAGUUUGUGUGUGGAUUUUCCCCUGGAACAUUUCUCCAUAUAGUUUGUCAUAAUAUGAAUUUCGGUAUUAAUGCUCAUUGGUUUUUACUUAAUUUAAUUUAACUGACAUACAGUUGAGAAAAUUAUUACCAUAUAUUUAUGUAUGAUCCAUAAAAGACAAAUUUUAUGAAU
rnacentral:misc_RNA from 1 species